GACGAACCGUGCGAACGUUGUUCGGAAUCACUGGGCUUAAAGGGCGCGUAGGCGGGCGGGCAAGUCAGGGGUGAAAUCCCACGGCUCAACCGUGGAAGUGCCUUUGAUACUGCCUAUCUUGAGGGAGGUAGGGGCGUGCGGAACUUCCGGUGGAGCGGUGAAAUGCGUAGAUAUCGGAAGGAACACCGGUGGCGAAAGCGGCGCGCUGGACCUCUACUGACGCUGAGGCGCGAAAGCCAGGGGAGCAAACAGGAUUAGAAACCCCCGUAGUCC
rnacentral:rRNA from 1 species